rnacentral:rRNA from 1 species
ACGGGUGAGGAAUACAUCGGAAUCUACUUUUUCGUGGGGGAUAACGUAGGGAAACUUACGCUAAUACCGCAUACGACCUACGGGUGAAAGCAGGGGACCUUCGGGCCUUGCGCGAUUGAAUGAGCCGAUGUCGGAUUAGCUAGUUGGCGGGGUAAAGGCCCACCAAGGCGACGAUCCGUAGCUGGUCUGAGAGGAUGAUCAGCCACACUGGAACUGAGACACGGUCCAGACUCCUACGGGAGGCAGCAGUGGGGAAUAUUGGACAAUGGGCGCAAGCCUGAUCCAGCCAUACCGCGUGGGUGAAGAAGGCCUUCGGGUUGUAAAGCCCUUUUGUUGGGAAAGAAAUCCAGCCGGCUAAUACCUGGUUGGGAUGACGGUACCCAAAGAAUAAGCACCGGCUAACUUCGUGCCAGCAGCCGCGGUAAUACGAAGGGUGCAAGCGUUACUCGGAAUUACUGGGCGUAAAGCGUGCGUAGGUGGUUGUUUAAGUCUGUUGUGAAAGCCCUGGGCUCAACCUGGGAACUGCAGUGGAAACUGGACAACUAGAGUGUGGUAGAGGGUAGCGGAAUUCCCGGUGUA